UUCCCUCAAGUACAGAAUCAGUUAUAUGUAUUUAUUGAGGUUUGGUCAUCCUUCCCCAUUGUCUUUGAAGUGAUGAAAGCUAAAUGAUUAUGACCUGCUUCCUAUGUUUUCCAGGUCCUCUCCUCUUCAGACCCUAAGAGGAUUCAAAACUUGAGAUUCGUUUUUCUUUCGUCGACACUCAUGUAACUAAUUGGAGAGACAUAGUGGAUGUUGUUGUUUUAGCUUGGGGUUUCGUAAUGGUAACCAUGUAAACCAGAAACAGUGACCUCAAGUUACGGCUCCUGGUCACUGUUGUUCUGACGAGAUCUUGUUCUAACAUAUGUUGAAUUCCAAUGGCAGAUUCGGAGCGCUUCCGGAGCUCCGCCAGGAGCAAGUCUGUUCUAUUAGGAGACUAGGAACAGUGCUGGAGUCUUCCAAUGGGAGCUUUGGGGCGGCCUUCAAGCCAAGGUCGCUCGAAGGAGCAACCGAGACUGCUCCCUCAAAAUAGGCAGAUUCAACCGGACUCUCCAUGACGUAUCACUUGUAACACUGCGCUUCCCAUUUCCUCUCUCUUCGCUAACAUGGUCGCUUCGUAAUGCAUCUCCGCCGUGACUGGUAUUUCGCGUCGUACGUUGCCGAUUUUGCUUCUCGAAGAAGGUGAUGAGUCAGACAUGUUCAGAGACUGACAUGUGUCAGACAUGUCAGACACUGAGUGUAGAUAAAGCAAAGUUUGCAUCCUUUCUACUUGAGCUAUGGAGGCGUCCGUAAUGGUAUGCACACGUGAUCUCUUGAAGGCAGCGUCCAGCCCCAUAGAAGCAAUGCCUCUCUUGAUUAAAUCAGAGAGGGUAAAGCUAAAGGGGAGAACUCCUUCUUUCGAGUAGGGCAUGUAUGUCCAACACAAAUUGAGGGGUGACGGGUACAUGUGUAAUUUCAGGAACUGUAAAGCACCUUCUUUUGGCAGUUCAAAGGGGAAGUUGAGGUCUCUAGAAUUCGACCGGAAAACGCCAAGGAGAGUCUGCUCUGAAACACUGACAGUCAAACUGCCCACACCCUUCUCAUGCACUACUAAAAAAUCUACCACAUGCGGGAAGAUAUGAUAGGAAGAAUUCUUCCCAGCUUGGCAUCGAAUGAGAGUGUGUCCAUGAAGCUUGCCACUAUAUGUGAUUUGACAUAUGAGAUCCUGUUCUUACAAAGCUAACAGGCAAGGGAUGGAAAGCAUGAGAAGAAAGUCACCCGUUCAAGAUGCUACAGGAAUAACGUUACCUUGGCUCCGGCUUCGCUGAUAGGAAAGCAUUCUGCAAUCCUUUUAGCAUCCCAUUCCUGCGGGUCUAGCCCGUGGAGGUAAUGUAUCUGCUGCUUCGCUGCCCAUGUCAACAAAUUAGUUUCUGGUGGCUUCGGAAAAUAUUUCCGCAGCGUGUUAUGCUUUGCUCUCAUACUCCUCUCCUUCCGGAGCUCGCUGUGAGAGUAAACAUAAAGUCAAACACGUUUUCAA